AAAAAAGAAUGUCUGCCUUCACCCUGAGCAUGGGAUCCCCCAUGCAAGGAUAAUCACUGUCAGAAGCUAUUUUGAUUUCACUGCUCAUCCAGCAGCUGGAAGUGAGCACAUGCGAUUAGCUCAAAAGCAAACAGCAAGACCUCUCCGGCUGCUGACCCUGGAAACCAGGUAUAGGGCCAGGCCAAGUGGACAGUGUUGAUAAAGUCUAUAGUAGUCUACAGUGAUUUCCUAGGCCUUCACAUUCACCCACUGACUCACCCAAAGCAACUUCCAGUCCUGCAAGCUCCAUUCAUGGUUUUCUACCUUCCCUGACAAGCUAGACUGUAAGCUCCUUGAAGGCAGGUAUCUUCUUUGCCACAUCUUCUCACUGGGGA